AGAGUUUGAUCCUGGCUCAGAGCGAACGCUGGCGGCAGGCCUAACACAUGCAAGUCGAGCGCCCCGCAAGGGGAGCGGCAGACGGGAGAGUAACACGUGGGAACGUACCCUUCAGUUCGGAACAACCAAGGGAAACUUUGGCUAAUACCGAAUACGUCCGUAAGGAGAAAGAUUUAUCGCUGAAGGAUCGGCCCGCGUCUGAUUAGCUAGUUGGUGGGGUAACGGCCCACCAAGGCGACGAUCAGUAGCUGGUCUGAGAGGAUGAUCAGCCUCACUGGGACUGAGACACGGCCCAGACUCCUACGGGAGGCAGCAGUGGGGAAUAUUGGACAAUGGGCGCAAGCCUGAUCCAGCCAUGCCGCGUGGAUGAUGAAGGCCCUAGGGUUGUAAAGUCCUUUCGGCGGGGAAGAUAAUGACGGUACCCGCAGAAGAAGCCCCGGCUAACUUCGUGCCAGCCGCCGCGGUAAUUC
rnacentral:rRNA from 1 species